UACGUAGGGGGCAAGCGUUGUCCGGAUUUAUUGGGCGUAAAGAGCGUGUAGGCGGCCUGACAGGUCUGCUGUGAAAACUCGAGGCUCAACCUCGAGAUGUCGGCGGAAACCGUCUGGCUAGAGUCCGGAAGAGGAGAGUGGAAUUCUGGUGUACGGUGAAAUGCGCAGAAUAUCAGGAGGACACGGUGCGAAGGCGGGAUCUCUGGGCCGGAAACUGCGCUGAGAGCGAAAGCGUGGGGAGCAAACAGG
rnacentral:rRNA from 1 species